rnacentral:rRNA from 1 species
UACGAAGGGUGCAAGCGUUACUCGGAAUUACUGGGCGUAAAGCGUGCGUAGGUGGUGAGUUAAGUCUGUCGUGAAAGCCCCGGGCUCAACCUGGGAAUGGCGAUGGAUACUGGCUCGCUAGAGUGCGGUAGAGGAGAGUGGAAUUCCCGGUGUAGCAGUGAAAUGCGUAGAUAUCGGGAGGAACAUCUGUGGCGAAGGCGACACCCUGGACCAGCACUGACACUGAGGCACGAAAGCGUGGGGAGCAAACAGG